rnacentral:lncRNA from 1 species
UUGACUUUGGCUUGACUUCAUUUCAGCGUACCAAUUGCUUCGACACUCAUUUGGGGGCCAUCGGAACAUCCGAUGGUGUGUUUUCCUGAAUUUCUUCAUUUCUUUGCUUGUCUUUGGUUGGUUGCUUCCUUGGGACCUAGAAUACCCUCACAAAAUGUGCUCAACACUUUGUUAGUCCCAAUGGCCUUGUUGUCAUUGAAUCACCAAAAUCAUGAACAAAUGGCUUAUCAAGGCCAUGUUCACUACAAUCUCCCCUUUUUUGGUGAUUGAUGACAACACAAUCAAAGCAAGCAUAAUUUGACCAAUUGAACCACUUGAACUUGCUUGGAUGCUUACCAUCAUCUAACCUCCCCCUUCGAACAUUUUCAUAUGACUCCCCCUUGAUGUACUUCUCCCUUUUUCUUGUAUUUCUCUCCCUAUUUGUGUUCACACAUCAGUUCUUGAUUUGGCUCUUGCUUUGAUUCCAC